CUCUCUGAGGGCCACUGUUGGUGGAGAAGUGUCCUAAUGGUUGAAAGGUUUUCACCAUGACAGAGACCUCAGUUUUGGCUAGGAGUUCAAGGCAGCACAAAUGCCACCCACUCUGUCCUCAAAAUAACCUUGAGAGGCUGCCUCACAACCAUGAACUUCUAGGUGUUCAGCACUUCUCAUUUCUGGAAAUGCAUGCGCGUUCAAGACUGGUGCAUCAGUUAAAAGUGGAGAAAAGUAAGUUGAUGCAGACAAAAAGUUGAAAGAAAGCAUUAACAGCAGCCUGGUCAGGCAACCACAGCAGAGCUAUGAACAAGUUCUUUUCCACCCCCACAGCCCCUUUGUGGUACAAACAAUAA